UGGUCAUUCUCUGGACGAUGUUCUUGCAUUUAAAAGCCAAGUACUGUGGCUGUUAUUUAAUAUUAUGACACUGUUGAAGUGUAAGAGGACAGAAUAUCAAGAAAAUCAGAUAUUAUUUCUCAGAGUGGACGGCAAGUGGCAGCCAGAGAAUGGCUCAAAUGUUGGGGCUUCUCUCGACGGCUGCUUUGCCUUUACGGAUCGCAGUAAAACCUUGUGUGCGCAGUUCAGUGGUGUCGGCAAAGAAUGUAUCUGUGCUGCCCGUCUACCGUGGCUGUUCUGUCAGGGGAGACAUCCCAUGGGAUGAGAAGGAGUUCCGCGCCCUGGCAAUGUUAGUAACUGGGAUAUCAUCUGCCGCACUCUACAAUCAGUUCAGUGACACAGCCAAGGAGAUCACCUGGAAGGACUUUGUCCAUCAUUACCUUGGCAGAGGAAUGGUUGACCGUUUAGUGGUUGUCUACAAACAGUAUGUGAGAGUCAUUCCAUUACCAGGAGCUGAUGAGAGCCAUGUGUGGUUUAACACUGGUAGGGUUAGUGGUAGGACACUGGUGGUAAGACACCUUCGAGAGGAACUGGGAGGCGGCUCAAGAUGACCUGGGCGUGGAGUCCUCUCACAGGGCAGCUGUUGUGUACAGCUCAAAACGUGACUGGACAUUAUUGAUGCACGUGAUCCCCACCCUGGGGCUGAUUGGUUUCCUGCUCUUCUCCCUGCGACGGAGACCAAUGGGAGGUGGUGAUUGGAUCGCCUUCACCCCAUUCAGCAUAAGGGAAUCACCAGCUAAGAUGAUGGACAACAUAAACACCAAGUUCAAGGAUGUUGCCGGCUGUGAGGAGGCCAAGCUGGAGAUCCUGGAGUUUGUUAACUUCCUGAAGAACCCCCACCAGUACCUGAUCCUGGGGGCCAAGAUCCCAAAGGGUGCUGUGCGCUCUGGACCUCCAGGCACAGGCAAGACCCUGCUGGCCAAAGCCACAGCAGGAGAAGUCAACGUCCCCUUCACCACAGUCAAUGGCUCUGAGUUCCUGGAGAUGUUUGUGGGUGUCUGCUGGAGAUGUUUGUGGGUGUUGGGCCUGCCAGGGUGAGAGACAUGUUUACCUUGGCCCGGAAGAACGCCCCUUGUAUCCUGUUCAUAGAUGAGAUAGACGCGGUGGGCCGCAAGAGGGGCGGGGGAGAUUUUGGGGGCCAGAGUGAGCAGGAGAUCACUCUCAACCAGCUGCUAGUGGAGAUGGAUGGGUUCGAUACCAGCACUAACGUGGUUGUCCUGGCGGGUACCAACAGACCGGACAUCUUGGAUCCUGCACUCAUGAGGCCUGGUAGAUUUGACAGGCAGAUAUACAUAGGCCCACCUGACAUCAAAGGCAGAGCGUCCAUCUUCAAAGUGCACUUACAGCCCAUUAAACUGGACCCUGCUAUGGCCUAAGACGGAUUGGCCAGGAAGAUGGCUGCCGCCACACCAGGCUUCACUGGAGCCGACAUGGUUAACGUGUGCAACGAAGCUGCCCUAAUCGCUGCUAGACACCUCAACCCACAUGUGGAAGGGAAAACACUUUGAGCAGGCCAUCGACAGGGUCGUCGGCGGUCUUGAGAAGAAGACCCAGGUGCUGCAGCCCAAUGAAAAGAAGACUGUAGCAUACCAUGAGGCUGGACAUGCAAUAGUGGGCUGGUUCUUGGAACAUGCUGACCCACUGCUGAAGGUGUCAAUCAUCCCCAGAGGGAAGGGGUUAGGGUAUGCCCACUACAUUCCCAAGGAGCAGUACCUGUACACGCGGGAGCAGCUGUGAGACAGGAUGUGUAUGAUGCUGGGAGGACGUGUGGCUGAACAGGUAUUCUUUGAGAAAAUCACCACAGGAGCUCAGGAUGACCUGAAGAAGGUCACCCAAUCAGCCUACGCACAGGUAGUGCAGUUCGGGAUGAGUGAGAAGGUAGGCCGUGUGUCGUUUGACCUGCCUCAGCAGGGGGAGAUGGCGACGGUUAAACCUUACAGCGAGGCCACGGCAGAGCUCAUAGACCAGGAGGUCCGAGACCUGGUGGACAGCGCCUACCAGAGGACCAUGGAGCUCAUUAUGGACAAGAGGGAGUGUGUGGACAUGGUGGGGAAGUAUCUCCUAGAGAAGGAGGUCCUGUACAAGGCGGAGCUGCUGGGGCCACGGCUGUUUAAGGAGAAGCUGACAUAUGAGGAGUUUGUGGAGGGGACUGGCAGUUUUGAAGAGGACACCAGCCUGCCAGAGGGCCUGAAGGACUGGAACCAGGAGAGUGAAUGGAGUUGAGGAGCCUGCCCCAGUUAAGGAGAAACGGGACCAAUAGGCAGGACAUCCAGUGACUGGCGGACCUCUUAACCUAAAACCUGUCUCAGCACAACACGCAUCACUUCAAUCAUGUAGCCUAGGCAGAAGGGAAGAUUUGGGUGGACUUGGCACAGUACAGUGUCCAGGGACCUAUUUAUCGGAGUUCAAAGCAAACUUUCAAGCCCAAAUUCAGAUCUUUCAUUGCCAUAUUUGGGGUAAGCCACAUUUUACUCAAAGGAAAAAUAUGCGUGACAGUGGACGCAUUGAGAUUUGCUAUUUUUUAGGACUUUGAUUUACUUCUCUCUCCCCACAUGUUUCAUAUGUUUGUCAUAAUUGAAUCAUGUACAGUCGGGUACAAAAUGAUUGGCACCCUUGAUGAAGAUGAGCAAAAAAUACUUUAUAAAAUAAAUACAUAGUGAGCUAUAUUUUUAUGGGACUUUUUUUAUAAUACAAUUGCUCCCAGAAGGAUAAUUGAUUUAACAAGUAAUACUUUCUGUUGCAAAAGAUGAUACUGUUGAAUAUCUCACCUUGCGAGGAUAAGGGCACUGAACCUUUUUUUCCUAAAAUGUUUUGAGAUUGGAGAACAUAUUUGGAGUGAUUUUAGACUCUUACUCCAUACUGAAUCUUCCCAGAUCCUUGAUAUUCUUUGUCUGCCCUUUAUGGACUGCCCUCAAUUCAAACCACAGAUUUUUGAAUGGGGUUCAAGUCCGGAUACUGAGUUGGCCAUGUCAAAAUGUUGAUUUUUGAAUGGGGUUCAAGUCCGGAUACUGAGUUGGCCAUGUCAAAAUGUGGAUUUUUGAAUGGGGUUCAAGUCCGGAUACUGAGUUGGCCAUGUCAAAAUGUGGAUUUUUGAAUGGGGUUCAAGUCCGGAUACUGAGUUGGCCAUGUCAAAAUGUGGAUUUUUGAAUGGGGUUCAAGUCCGGAUACUGAGUUGGCCAUGUCAAAAUGUUGCUUUUUGAAUGGGGUUCAAGUCCGGAUACUGAGUUGGCCAUGUCAAAAUGUUGCUUUUUGAAUGGGGUUCAAGUCCGGAUACUGAGUUGGCCAUGUCAAAAUGUUGAUUUUUGUGGCCAAUUAACCAUUUUCUUUUGUGGAAUUUGAUGUGUGCUUGGGGUUAUUGUCUUGCUGGAAGAUCCACUUGUGGCCAAAUUCAAGCCUCCUGGCAGAGGCAACCAGGUAUUUGGCUAAAAUGUCCUGGUACUGGGUGAAUUUCACUGCACCAUUGACCUUUAAUAUUUUACACAAGGUAUGGGGUUCAUUCUUUUGACACCAAAGCACCAUGGGUGAGCGUGGCCAAACAGCCUCAGUAUUUUUAUAUUUUCUCAUCUUUAUCAAGGGUGCCUAUAAUUUUGGACCUGACUGGACAUCUGCACCAUAAGACCAGAUUGUUUUGAUAUGUUCAGCUAUUUAUUUAAAAAGGGACUUCCUCCCUGUAAAAUGAAAUUCACAACUGUAUUUGUUUCCUUCCCUCAAAUGAAGGAAUCAUUUCUAAUCUUGUUCAUCUUUAUCUACCGAUGACAGAGUUACUGGUUAUGAAAGAUGCACUGCUUAGAGUAUUAAUAUCGUAGUUCAUCAAAAUGCCAGAAAUAUACUUCCUUCGAUAUGUGGAAAUGUGCCCUGCCGCCAUCUCUCAGGCAUGCAAUCGUAGGGUGUGAAAGCUUAAAGGGAUACUUCAGGAUUUUGGCAAUGAAACCCUUCAUUUAGUUUCCAGAGUCGGAUUAAUUGUCUGAUUGCAGUUUGAAGAAAGUUGCUAACUAGCAUUAGUGCAAUGCCUGGAAGUCUAUGGUAACUGCUAGCAUGCUAGUAGAUCCCAUAGACUUCCAGUCAUUGCACUAAUGCUAGUUAGCAUUGGCUCACGAAACUACCUCUAACUUCUUUCAUACUGGAUGCAGAGACAUAAAUGGUGUCCGUGAGUUCAUCAGACUCCGGCGACGAAGACAAAGGGCUUCAUUGUUCAAAAUCCCGAAGUAUCCCUUUGACCACAAAUUAUAACUGACUAUGCUCAGCGGGUUUGUUUUUAAGGAUGCUAUGCUGCUCCAGGAGAGUGCUGUUGAAAAAUGUACAGUAGCGCACAUCUCCUACAGAAUUAUAAACUAUUUGCUACCUCACUUCAAAGCGAUGUAUUAAACUCAAUUGCCUUCGUAUAGGUUUGUGAAAAUUUCCUGUGUCAGUACUACAAAUGUUUCCAUUGUAACUGAUCAGCACGGAAGAUUCCUAAUAGUUUAUAAUUAUUGUAUUGUAAAUAUGUUUGCAUAAAAUGUAUGUGUAGUUGCUGGUGGUUUUGGCUUGCUGUGAGAUGCUGUGUAUGAAGGCAAUGGGUAUACUACCAUGUAUAAAGCAUGUUUGUGUUUCCUCUGCUUACUGCCACCAACCAUCUGUUUGUAAUUUCAACUUUUAAUGUUAAUUUCAAUAAACUGUUCUCAUUUGA